AGUCAAAAGUACACAGUGCACACAGAGUUUGAAGACCUGUGAAAGGGCAUGAAAGUACUUGACACCAGGAAGGAGUGAAGAAGAGCAAAGGCAACAGGGAGCAGUUUUGUGUCUGUGCUCUUUGCCAGACAUGAGAAGACCACUUGAUGUACACUUUAGGUGGAGCCGAGAUGGUGCAGUUCUGUGUUAAUAUAAGAGAAGUGUGGCCUUCCUGCUCAUGGCACUAAAAGUGAGAUAAUCCCUGUGUAAGAAAUCAGGUCGUAAACGCUCUUUCCGGAUCAUCCCCAAUAACAGGAAUUUCUACCAGCAAGGCCAUUAACAGGCCUUGAGAUAGGGAGCGCCAAAUUAAGAUGCGGAUGUAUAAACAAAUAAGAACAUACGCAGACUUGCAUAGGAGUGCAAAUGAUCAUUUCUGAUUGAAAUGUUUAUAGCUAAAUGGGUUUGGCUGCGUCCAACCCAAAUGUGCCAAAGGAUAAGCCCCUUGAUGCUGCUGCUUUUCCGUGUUUUCUAAGCUGCUUUGCAGAUGAAAAUGGAACUAUAUUUGGAGAAAUGUUUUCUGUUUUUUCAUACUAUUGAUAUUUGUGGAAAGUCACAAAAUGGCCUAAGGAAGCUCAGCUCACCCCAAGCUGUGGUCACUUACAAGUACUUUUGUACUCUGUACUCUUGUCACAUUUGGCGAUCAGAGCAACAGCUGGGGAGACUUUUUCAACAAAGAUGAGUGUCAGUUAAUCCUGAUGAGAUUCCACAUCCAACAUCUUUUGUAAUUAUGUCACAUUCAGCUGUAAUGGAAUAAUUCAAGCUGAAAGGACAAGCUUUGAUCCUUUCUUAAACCUUUCCCUGUGGACUGGCUAUCUAAAAGAUUUAAAGAUAUUUCUGUUACAAGAUCUAGUGUUUCCUCAGAGAAGUCAUGCUUCUGAAGCAUCAGGAUCUACAAGAACAACAUCAAGUUUGCCAAACACGUUUCUGAAAGCAUCUUUUUUGCGGGGAGGGGUGUAUUGAAUGAAGAUGUCAAUAAUACGCUGUUCUUCAAUUUUCAUGUAGACUAUCAAGAUUCAUUGUCUUAUUCUGUCAUCCAAAUGGGCAGAGAGAAAAAUGACUUAAAUGCAUUGUAGAGAUUGUGUCAUUGUACAUUUAAAGCAUCUGUGUGCAAAUUCAUGUAUGUGCUUAUUAACUAAUGUUAAUGGCCUAGGGAAAUACGAGAUAUGUUGUAGAAUUAAAAAAUAAAAGGUUGUUAAAACACCAGCAA